UACGUAGGGUGCGAGCGUUAAUCGGAAUUACUGGGCGUAAAGCGCACGUAGGCGGUCUUUUAAGUCGGGGGUGAAAUCCUGGAGCUCAACUCCAGAACUGCCUUCGAUACUGGAAGACUCGAGUCCGGGAGAGGUGAGUGGAACUGCGAGUGUAGAGGUGAAAUUCGUAGAUAUUCGCAAGAACACCAGUGGCGAAGGCGGCUCACUGGCCCGGUACUGACGCUGAGGUGCGAAAGCCAGGGGAGCAAAGCGGG
rnacentral:rRNA from 1 species